UAUCUCUUGCUUGCUCGGAUUACAUCGUGUUGAAAUACACAAGCAACGUCGCAUAAUUAUUGUGUGUGGGUGCAGAGAUAUGCAUCGAUUUUAACUCUAUAAUUUACAUGACAGCGGGUUUAGCUGUGCGUGGAGAACAGUUCUUAUUAUAUUAUAUACUAUACAUCACUGCAUAUGGUUUGUGACCUAGAGAACAGCUGACAUUAUUAUGUAUAUUAUAUAAAUCGUUUGUGAGCUGAAUAUCUUUUGACCUAUAUCUCCCUAUAGCCUACUCUACACACAGUGUAAACACCAACAGGCCUGUACCAACAUUACUGAAACAAUACUGCUUGAAUAGGAGUCAUUAUGUAAAAAAGCUGUCCCGUGUGUAAGAUGUAUUUGUGAAAAUUAACUGGCUUCAGUAUUAUAUAAUUGGGUGGAAAUAGGCCUUAAACAACAACAUUUGUAGUUGAAAAUGGCUGAUUAUAGAAUUAGAGACGCUGUAAUUAAUGAUUGUGAAGGAAUAUUUAAAAACAUAAAGGAACUAGCAGUCCAUCAUCAUUCUCCAAAUGGUGUAAAAUUAACAGUCGACACCCUUAAAAAAGAUGGUUUUGGUGAAAAUCCUCUAUUUAGAUGUCAGGUUGCUGAAAAUAUUAACUCAGGGGAGAUAAUCGGGCACGCUUUAUUCUUUCCAUUCUACAGUUCCUGGAUAGGAAAGGGUAUGUUUAUGGAAGAUUUAUUCGUUACAGAGCGCGAACGAAGUAAAGGUGUGGGUGUCGCUCUCCUGAAAAGAUUAGUACAGCUUUGUGUAGAAGAGGGUUUUAUUAGACUCCAAUGGGAAGUAAUGGAAUUCAAUAAACGAGGGAUGAAUUUCUACAAUAAACAAGGUGCUCAAGAUACGACUGCAGAUGGUGGAAGGAGGGUUUUUAGAUUUAAUAAAGAACAAAUGGAGGAAUAUCUACAAUAGGCUUGCUGAAUAGAGUUCCGACAAUUCUAGGAUCAAAUGUAUGACUUUUAAUUUUUAAUAUAAUCUCAUACACUUUCA